AAAGAAGGGACAUCUGGUGGAAUGAACUACGUGGUUAAAUCCUUUUUGAAUCAUCUUUUCUGACAACGGGGUGGAAGAGUAACUAGUUGACCACAGAGCUCUCUCUGUUCACAGUGAGAAACAUGCUUUGCCUUGGAGGGAGUCCAUCAGCUAAUAUUAACACAGAGAAGGCGAAAGUGCAGGUUGACAGGAAAGCCUGGCUCUCCCCUGACUCAAUUCAGGAGAUCAUUAAGGACGAAGUCUUGCUGUAAAGUACACCUCUCUUCCUCCGAUGACAGUGACAACCAGGGCGCUGAAUCAGGGGCAGCCUGCUCUCCUUUGACAAACACCCACCCACUUUGCCUCCAGUACUCGUAAGAAGCCAUAAGAAGUUUCUCAGACUUAACGUGUGUGAAAGGGUACUAAAUCUUCCAUCUCCUGGAGGCUGAAAGGAAAAUGGAAAGGUUUAUUGUACUCUGUCACAGAGGGGAAACAUCUGCUGGUGAUGACAAGGGAGGAGGCCAUCCCAUCUUUCUUACUGGCAUUCACAAAGGACUUCUGCUGGAUUUAUUCCUACUGGAAGGUGGCAGCUUGUCACUUUCCAAGAUCCCAAGUUCAGGGAGACACUAAAUGGCUCCUGGCUAAAGGGAAAAGAAAAUGUUUUGUCUUCUUCAUGGAAGUGUUUCUCAAUGUUGCAGUUUGCAAAAUGGAUGCAGAGGGACAAUUUAAGAUGGGGUAAUACAUGAUUGCAGCAUCCUACAGAGUUCUGGAAGUCCAAUGCUGCUCCCUGGACAUCGAUUUGUUCUUUCCAGCAGAUUCGUCUUUUCAUAUGGCUUUGUUUCCAUGGAACAAGACAAGGAGUUCAUCAUAAAACUGUCUAGCUACUCAGUCAGUCUGGCACAUGAAAUUCUGUGCAGUUCUGUAUCUUUUUCAAGUGACUGGAGCACUAGGUGUCCAUUUGACAGUUCUGGACAGCCAAACAGAGAUUAGAUCAGUUCACAUGGUGCAUACGGUCAUGUGAUCGUAAAUUCUAGGUCUUGAAUACAUCCAACUUAUGUCCGC
rnacentral:lncRNA from 1 species